UACGUAGGGUCCGAGCGUUGUCCGGAAUUACUGGGCGUAAAGAGCUCGUAGGUGGUUUGUCGCGUUGUUCGUGAAAACUCACAGCUCAACUGUGGGCGUGCGGGCGAUACGGGCAGACUGGAGUACUGCAGGGGAGACUGGAAUUCCUGGUGUAGCGGUGGAAUGCGCAGAUAUCAGGAGGAACACCGGUGGCGAAGGCGGGUCUCUGGGCAGUAACUGACGCUGAGGAGCG
rnacentral:rRNA from 1 species